rnacentral:rRNA from 1 species
AGUGAACGCUGGCGGUAGGCCUAACACAUGCAAGUCGAACGGCAGCACAGUAAGAGCUUGCUCUUACGGGUGGCGAGUGGCGGACGGGUGAGGAAUACAUCGGAAUCUACUUUUUCGUGGGGGAUAACGUAGGGAAACUUACGCUAAUACCGCAUACGACCUACGGGUGAAAGCAGGGGAUCUUCGGACCUUGCGCGAUUGAAUGAGCCGAUGUCGGAUUAGCUAGUUGGCGGGGUAAAGGCCCACCAAGGCGACGAUCCGUAGCUGGUCUGAGAGGAUGGUCGGCGACACGGGAACGGGAGCACGGACCAGGGGACUGCGGGAAGGCACAGAGGGGAAUGUUGGGCAACGGGGGGGAAGAUUGUACAACCAGAGCGAGUGGGAGGAAGAAGCCCUGCGGGUGGGAAGACCUUUUGUUGGGAAAAAAAAGCAGCAGGUUGAUACCAAGCUUGUGUGACGGUAACCAAAAAAUAAGCACCGGCUAACUUCGUG